rnacentral:rRNA from 1 species
GUGGGGAAUCUUGCGCAAUGGGCGAAAGCCUGACGCAGCCAUGCCGCGUGAAUGAUGAAGGUCUUAGGAUUGUAAAAUUCUUUCACCGGGGACGAUAAUGACGGUACCCGGAGAAGAAGCUCCGGCUAACUUCGUGCCAGCAGCCGCGGUAAUACGGAGGGUGCAAGCGUUGUUCGGAAUUAUUGGGCGUAAAGGACGCGUAGGCGGUAAUGAAAGUCAGGUGUGAAAUACUUUGGCUCAACUGAAGAACUGCAUCUGAAACUUCAUAACUAGAGUACAGAAGAGGGAAACGGAAUUCCCGGUGUAGAGGUGAAAUUCGUAGAUAUCGGGAGGAACACCAGUGGCGAAGGCGGUUUCCUGGUCUGAUACUGACGCUGAGGCGUGAAAGUGUGGGGAGCAAACAGGAUUAGAUACCCUUGUAGUCC